CUCUUAUCAUGUGGAUCCAAGGACU
rnacentral:piRNA from 1 species